AUUGAACGCUGGCGGCUUGCUUUACACAUGCAAGUCGAACGGCAGCGCGGGCUUCGGCCUGGCGGCGAGUGGCGAACGGGUGAGUAAUAUAUCGGAACGUACCCAAGAGUGGGGGAUAACGUAGCGAAAGUUACGCUAAUACCGCAUACGAUCUAAGGAUGAAAGCAGGGGAUCGCAAGACCUUGUGCUCCUGGAGCGGCCGAUAUCUGAUUAGCUAGUUGGUGAGGUAAAGGCUCACCAAGGCAACGAUCAGUAGCUGGCCUGAGAGGACGACCAGCCACACUGGAACUGAGACACGGUCCAGACUCCUACGGGAGGCAGCAGUGGGGAAUUUUGGACAAUGGGGGCAACCCUGAUCCAGCAAUGCCGCGUGAGUGAAGAAGGCCUUCGGGUUGUAAAGCUCUUUUGUCAGGGAAGAAAAGGCUGUGGCUAAUAUCCACAGCUGCUGACGGUACCUGAAGAAUAAGCACCGGCUAACUACGUGCCAGCAGCCGCCGUAAAAC
rnacentral:rRNA from 1 species